rnacentral:rRNA from 1 species
GACAGAGGGUGCAAACGUUGUUCGGAUUUACUGGGCGUAAAGCGCGUGUAGGCGGCUUCGCAAGUUGGAUGUGAAAGCCCACGGCUCAACCGUGGAAGCGCAUCCAAAACUGCGUCGCUAGAGUCUCGGAGAGGAAGGUGGAAUGCUUGGUGUAGAGGUGAAAUUCGUAGAUAUCAAGCAGAACACCUGCGGCGAAGGCGGCCUUCUGGACGAUGACUGACGCUGAGACGCGAAAGCCAGGGGAGCAAACGGG